ensembl:lncRNA
CGUUGCUGUCAUAGUUGUUAUAACCUUCUUAUAUAUUUCAUUUAAAGACUGUGUGAAAUCUAUUUAUUUUUGGUUCAUUUUUUGUCACAAUUUGAGACAAGUGACAAAUGAAACAGAAUCAUACUUUUUAUCCCUCUUUUACACAUUGCUGAAGGAAUUGAGUUGAAUCGAAGCGCAAUGUUAUUUUUUUUUUAAAGACCAGUGUGCCAAAUUGGAAAGAAACCAUGAGAUCCGCUGUUUUUAUUUAUAGUUACAUGGUAGUUCUAGAUUUUUUAGAUCAUGUUUGCAAUGUUGUGUCUAGCGUGAUGAUAGUUUUUUUUUCUCCAUUUCAACCAAUAUGCUGAUUGUUUUGUGGUCAAGAUGGUGGAAGUCUUUUCCUUUGCUAUUAUGGUCUGGUGAUUAGAAUGCCUGGGCAUUGUAUCGUUAUCCUGUUGUUGAUCAGAGGUUUAAGCAAAUCACUUUUACUUUAGAAUAAAUUAUAUUAGCAUAUUAACUCAAUCAGUUUAUCGGUGCACAGAUUCUGCUUCAUUGGUUUCAUUUUGUAAGAGCAUUCUUUUAUUAAUAUGAACAUGCAGAUUCAGAUGUACAUCAGAAUCCUGUGUUAUAUAUAAAAAUAGACAUGGUUUGUCAGAUAGGGUUCAACUUCAUAUUUCCAGUUGAAGUAACCUACGGGUUCUCUAUCUUAUGUUGACUUAAGUGUUUCCACAGUCAAAAUGUUUUUAACCCUGAGAAAAAGUAAAUGUAUUAUUAGAGACAUAGCACUCAGCUUAAUGGUUUUGCCCUUGUUCGAGCUAUGUAUCUAAGAUGGGUGAAUUGUCUGAAAGACGUUGUAAAACCCAGCACAAUGCAUUUAUUGUACCAGGAUAUAGGCAAACGUUGCACACCAUCAAACCAACAAACCAGGAAUGAAAUCAAACUGGCGAGGUCUGCUGGUUUGGAGAGAAAGAUGACAUAUGUGUAACAUUAACGUUCAAAGACUUCUAUUCACUUUUAAUUCAUAUUUGCAAACACUCUGAUAAUUCCAUUGUCAGCCUAAGGUGAUUUUCUCCGGUCAUCUUCUCAUUUAUGGAAACUCAUUCCAAACUGUAGACAAUGGUAGAGUUGGCUCUUAAUGAUGUGCUGGGGGUUUCAUUUCAUGGCACUGUAAGUUGCAAUGGUUGGGACUUUCAUGCUGGACAUGUGAAUUAAGACUUUCAGGACUGGGCAGGGUAGGUUCAGACCAGCACUUUAACGCAUGGGUCCAAAACAUCAAACUGUACGGGCAUUGGGUCUCUGUCACUAAAGAGUUAAUAGGAGUAAACCUGACUGGCCUCACUUGGAGUGGAUGAUCAACUCUCACUUAAAACAAUGAUGACCUUGGAAAAAAAAAAUCUACAACUGAAGCACUGUAAUGUUUUUUUUUUGUCAGCAGGUGGCAGGGUGAAUACUAGGUUGGCUCAAUUAUUUCCCAUCCGACGACAACGGUGACAGAGUUCUCUGUCACACUACUAAUGGGAAUCCACAGUUAACACAUUGUUUUGCAAUACAUUACUAUUAAAUGCAGAGACUGGGGUUACUAAAUAUUUAGGUAUACUAUAUAUGGAGUAAUUCAUGUCAUGUACUACUGUAAUAAGUGUGCGCUGUCAGUUGUAGAAGUAUGAAUCCACAUUGAAGUCAUUGCCAGCAUUUGAAAGAAUCUGGCAAAUGGUCACACACUGAUAACUUCAGAAUAAGGUCGCUGUUCUUUCCCCACUGUUACAGUAAAAAUUAAAAAAAUAAAUAUAAUAUGGUUUCUUUUUAACUGUAUAGUAUUUUAAAAAGCAAUGUUGCAUAUGUCUGAAAAAUUCGAUGAAAAAAAAAAUGGGUUUAAAUGGAUGGUGCUCGUUUCAUUGAAUCUGAGUUGUAUCACCUCUGUUAUGUUUAUUAAAAAGAUAUUGUGCAUGACGUGUUUAGCAGUCAUAAUGAUGUCCAUUUGUGAAAUGUGUAUCUUAAAUUAAAAAAUGAAAUAAAAAAUAAUGAAUCCGUAGAUGCACUUAUUGUACAUGUGGUUAGGUUAGUGUUUGACUUCAAGUCCUUACAGAUGUAUUGGGCAGGUGGUUCUUAAAUGAAUACAAAAAAGCUUGUGGGAGAGAGAUGUAAUGAAAAAAAUGAAAGGAUUGUAGAAUAAUAUUGAACAAUUCUGAAAUAGCAGUUCUUUUGAUGCUUGUGAUUAUUGAAGAUGUACUUUAGAGAAAUUUCAUGGAAAAGAUAUGAUUCUGAUGUUAAUUCUGUAGAAUAGAAAUGUAUACCAAAUGUAAUCUUUCCAAUGCUAUGAAGAAUUUAUACAUGAAAUUGAUAUGCAAUAAAACCUGUGUGCUUUUU